UGGGGAAUAUUGCACAAUGGGCGCAAGCCUGAUGCAGCCAUGCCGCGUGUAUGAAGAAGGCCUUCGGGUUGUAAAGUACUUUCAGCGGGGAGGAAGGGAGUAAAGUUAAUACCUUUGCUCAUUGACGUUACCCGCAGAAGAAGCACCGGCUAACUCCGUGCCAGCAGCCGCGGUAAUACGGAGGGUGCAAGCGUUAAUCGGAAUUACUGGGCGUAAAGCGCACGCAGGCGGUUUGAUAAGUCAGAUGUGAAAUCCCCGGGCUCAACCUGGGAACUGCAUCUGAUACUGGCAAGCUUGAGUCUCGUAGAGGGGGGUAGAAUUCCAUGUGUAACGGUGAAAUGCGUAGAGAUGUGGAGGAAUACCGGUGGCGAAGGCGGCCCCCUGGACAAAGACUGACGCUCAGGUGCGAAAGCGUGGGGAGCAAACAGG
rnacentral:rRNA from 1 species